UACGUAGGGUGCAAGCGUUAAUCGGAAUUACUGGGCGUAAAGCGUGCGCAGGCGGUUUUGUAAGUCUGUCGUGAAAUCCUCGGGCUCAACCUGAGAAUUGCGAUGGAGACUGCAAGGCUAGAAUCUGGCAGAGGGGGUAGAAUUCCACGUGUAGCAGUGAAAUGCGUAGAUAUGCGGAGGAACACCGAUGGCGAAGGCAAUCCCCUGGGCCUGCACUGACGCUCAUGCACGAAAGCGUGGGGAGCAAACAGG
rnacentral:rRNA from 1 species